CACAUGCAGUCGUACCGAACGGUCAGCACGAGAGCUUGCUCUCUUGGCGGCGAGUGGCGGACGGGUGAGUAAUAUAUCGGAACGUGCCCAGUAGCGGGGGAUAACUACUCGAAAGAGUGGCUAAUACCGCAUACGCCCUACGGGGGAAAGGGGGGGAUCGCAAGACCUCUCACUAUUGGAGCGGCCGAUAUCGGAUUAGCUAGUUGGUGGGGUAAAGGCUCACCAAGGCAACGAUCCGUAGCUGGUUUGAGAGGACGACCAGCCACACUGGGACUGAGACACGGCCCAGACUCCUACGGGAGGCAGCAGUGGGGAAUUUUGGACAAUGGGGGAAACCCUGAUCCAGCCAUCCCGCGUGUAUGAUGAAGGCCUUCGGGUUGUAAAGUACUUUUGGCAGAGAAGAAAAGGUAUCCCCUAAUACGGGAUACUGCUGACGGUAUCUGCAGAAUAAGCACCGGCUAACUACGUGCCAGCAGCCGCGGUAAUACGUAGGGUGCAAGCGUUAAUCGGAAUUACUGGGCGUAAAGCGUGUGUAGGCGGUUCGGAAGAAAGAUGUGAAAUCCCAGGGCU
rnacentral:rRNA from 1 species